rnacentral:rRNA from 1 species
AUUGAACGCUGGCGGCAGGCCUAACACAUGCAAGUCGAACGGUAACAGGAAGAAGCUUGCUUCUUUGCUGACGAGUGGCGGACGGGUGAGUAAUGUCUGGGAAACUGCCUGAUGGAGGGGGAUAACUACUGGAAACGGUAGCUAAUACCGCAUAACGUCGCAAGACCAAAGAGGGGGACCUUCGGGCCUCUUGCCAUCGGAUGUGCCCAGAUGGGAUUAGCUAGUAGGUGGGGUAACGGCUCACCUAGGCGACGAUCCCUAGCUGGUCUGAGAGGAUGACCAGCCACACUGGAACUGAGACACGGUCCAGACUCCUACGGGAGGCAGCAGUGGGGAAUAUUGCACAAUGGGCGCAAGCCUGAUGCAGCCAUGCCGCGUGUAUGAAGAAGGCCUUCGGGUUGUAAAGUACUUUCAGCGGGGAGGAAGGGAGUAAAGUUAAUACCUUUGCUCAUUGACGGUACCCGAAGAAGAAGCACCGGCUAACUACGUG